rnacentral:lncRNA from 1 species
GGGGCGAUGAUUCAAAACAUUGUAAUAUUGAAGAGUAUACGUAGGGGAGGGGUCGGUUUUUAGUUUUUUAGGGGCAUUUUUUUUGUCUGACUACUAGAUAUAUUUAGGAUAUUUUGUAGUGUUAUCUCAUCCGACCUGGUGGUAUCAUAUUUUAACAUAUCGUACGUCCCGACAUCCUAUAAAUAUAUCGGAAAAGUCCAAUUUAAUAACUGUCGUUGCAUGUAGGAUAAUUGUCCGAAGUUCCACGACUAUUAUUUAAAUAUGUCAAAAUAAAGGAUCCCUUAAACGAGUCUUACGUAUGAUUCGUCAAGCAUACGUACCUUUCGUCAAUUUGUAAGAAAGCUCUAUUGAG